rnacentral:rRNA from 1 species
CGUACGGGUGAGUAACACGUGGAUCAUCUACCUUUUAGUGAGGAGUACCGUUGGGAAACCGACGACAAUACCGCAUAAGCCCGAGAGGGGAAAGCAGCAAUGCGCUGAAAGAGGAGUCCGCGGCUGAUUAGCUAGUUGGUAGGGUAAUGGCCUACCAAGGCAUCGAUCAGUAGCCGGCCUGAGAGGGCACACGGCCACACUGGCACUGAAACACGGUCCAG